rnacentral:pre_miRNA from 1 species
UCGAAUGUGGAUUUAUCUCUUUGGUUAUCUAGCUGUAUGAGUAGCUAAAGUAGUUAAUAGUUCAUAAAGCUAGGUUACCGAAGUUAUAAUCGCAUUUCA